rnacentral:rRNA from 1 species
GACGAACGCUGGCGGCGUGCUUAAUACAUGCAAGUCAACUGAACUGUUUGUAGCAAUACGAACAGGGAGGUGGCGCACGGGUGAGUAACACGUAGGUAAUCUGCCUUUAGGUCUGACAUAACCCGGUAACGAGCUAAUAUCAGAUGAUGCAGCGGCUCGACAUCGAGACAGUUGUUAAACCUUCGGGGCCUAAAGAUGAGCCUGCGUCUGAUUAGCAGUUGGUGAGGUAAUGGCUCACCAAGGCUACGAUCAGUAGCUGG